UACGGAGGGGGCUAGCGUUGCUCGGAAUCACUGGGCGUAAAGCGCACGUAGGCGGGUCCUUAAGUCAGGGGUGAAAUCCUGGAGCUCAACUCCAGAACUGCCCUUGAUACUGAGGAUCUCGAGUUCGGGAGAGGUGAGUGGAACUGCGAGUGUAGAGGUGAAAUUCGUAGAUAUUCGCAAGAACACCAGUGGCGAAGGCGGCUCACUGGCCCGAUACUGACGCUGAGGUGCGAAAGCGUGGGGAGCAAACAGG
rnacentral:rRNA from 1 species